rnacentral:rRNA from 1 species
AUUGAACGCUGGCGGUAGGCCUAACACAUGCAAGUCGAACGGCAGCACAGUAAGAGCUUGCUCUUACGGGUGGCGAGUGGCGGACGGGUGAUGAAUACAUCGGAAUCUACUUGUUCGUGGGUGAGAACGUAGGGAAACUUACGCUAAUACCGCAUACGACCUACGGGUGAAAGCAGGGGAUCUUCGGACCUUGCGCGAUUGAAUGAGCCGAUGUCGGAUUAGCUAGUUGGCGGGGUAAAGGCCCACCAAGGCGACGAUCCGUAGCUGGUCUGAGAGGAUGAUCAGCCACACUGGAACUGAGACACGGUCCAGACUCCUACGGGAGGCAGCAGUGGGGAAUAUUGGACAAUGGGCGCAAGCCUGAUCCAGCCAUACCGCGUGGGUGAAGAAGGCCUUCGGGUUGUAAAGCCCUUUUGUUGGGAAAGAAAAGCAGCAGGUUAAUACCCCGCUGUUCUGACGGUACCAAAAGAAUAAGCACCGGCUAACUUCGUG